GCUGCACUUGCAGCAUAUGGAAGUUCCCAGUCUAAGGCUCGAAUUAGAGCUGCAGCUGCAGGCCUGUGCCACAGCCACGGCAACACUGGAUCCAAGCUGCAUCUGUGACCUACACCACAGCUAGAGGCAAUGCCAGAUCCUUAACCCACUGAGCAAGGCCAGGAAUUGAACCCGCAUCCUCAUGUACACUAUGUUGUAUUCUUAACCCACUGAGCCACAACAGGAACUCCUAAAUAUAAUCCAGGUCACUUGAUUGCACUAGUUAAGAUUCUUUGUUAUAACAACAGAAAUAAACUUGUAUUAAGCAGACGAGGACAUUCUAUUGAAGGACACUGGGCAGGGCCCGGAAAUGACAGGAAGUCUAAAGAGCCAGGCGUGGGGCAGGGAUAGGAAUGCAGGGAGGCUGGGCAACCAGGACCUGGUCAAGGUUACACCCUGGAGCAGGUUGCUGGGCACUGUUGCCACCAGUGUCUCAGUCUGGGCUCCUGGUGGUGCUCUGUGCUGCCAGUUCUUCCAGAGUCAGUCUUCCCUGCUUUGCUUCUGUUAUCAUCAGAUAAAAAUUUACAAGUGAGGGCAUUCAGAUGGGCUGGAGUCACACAAGUUGUCACCAGUGUGUAGGGAUAGGGAAGGACUUGAAGGAAUCCCUCAAACACUGGAAAUGGCAGCCAAGAAGGUAAACAUCCACACACGGCCAAGGGAUAAGGCCGUGCUUCCAUUUUAUUAAAAACCCCCAAUUAAAAUCCCAAGUAUUUAGGAUACAAGUCCUCAUCCUGCUUGUUAUGCAUUUUGCUGGAAUCCGCAAUUCACCCACCCCUACAAAUCCUCAGAGCACGAUGUGUUCAGGCCCCUCAGAUCCUCUGGAUGGUUCCUCGCCUUCUUUCGUCCAUUGUCUGGCUCUGCGUCUUUGUUUCUUUCUUCCAAAGGGCAUCCUUCUCACAGCAAGGUUGAGAGACGGUUGUGAAAUUAAAGAGAUUUAAUUAAAGAGAAUAAUCAAAAACACAUCAAAAGUGAUUGUAACUGAGAAAAAUCCAAAUGGAUACCACAGACCUGGCAGCUGUUUGAAGGAAGCCCGGUCCAUGAGCCACCACCUAGGACUCCGUCAUCCCCUCCACACUGCCGCUCUGUUGCCGAUGCUAUUCGCUCUGCCCUUGGGCUUGUUUCUCUUUCUUUCCUAAAAGGAAAAUAAUCUGUGAGAUCAAAGUUGGUCAACAGAAAAUAAUAAGCUAGUGUAUAUAUAGUGAACAUCACCUUCCAGAUUCUGUUCUAAAAUUCUUACAUAUCAACCCACAGAACCCUCAGGCUGACCCAUGAAGAGGACUGUUAUCCAGUUUUAUGGAUGAGAACGCUGAGGCGCAAAGAUAUUAGUAAGAUGUGGAGAAGGCACCUAGCUAGUAGAGGGAAGAAGCUAGGAUUUGAACCUAGGCAAUAGUAACUCCAUGACCUGCGUGUACCACCGCUCAGUGAUGCCUUAUCAAGAUGGUUUCCUGUAAAAAUACUGAUCAGAAUAACCAGCUCAGCUGUGUAGGAGCCCUGGUCCGUCACCUCUGUUCCACAGUGUGAUCUUUGCUUUAUCUUUGCAUGAACAACAAAAAAAAAGUCAUUGAAAGGAUUUUCUCCUAUCAUAAGAGUAGUUUGCACCCAAAGAAUUGAGGACUUGCUCUCCAGAAAAGUAGAAAACCUACUUGCAGAUUUAAAAAUAACCGUUUUCUUUACCUCUGGCCAACAAUUCUUCACCCACAGAAAAAAACCCUAGGCUCAGAAAGAGUUCUAUCACUUGUUCAACAUGGCAGGCCUUUCUCCAAAUGGUAAAUGCAAAAACCUAAAAGAGGGACAGCGGUCAUUAGGCAGCAAGAUGUCAAGAGAGAAGUAAGAUAUGACCUAUUUCACUAACAUCCUUUGCUUUAUUUGAAGGACAAAAGUUUUCAUCCCCAACAUUUCCCCUUUGUGUGUAGGACUGAUUACUGGAAGUUUUAUGCUAAAGCCCACUCGUGUGCUUGCAUUAAAAUAGCGCCCCGCUUUAGUGAUUUAAUACAUUCAGAUACCAAUACGUGCAUAAGAUUUGUCAAUUUGAAACCAACAUGCUGUGUUUUGAGUGUGACACGUAGCUCCAUUGUCAAAAGAUUGCUAGCAAAAAUGGUCUUUGAGCCAUGAGAAGACAACCAGGAAAUCUGGAAGGGCAAGUCUCUCUUUUCAUCUUUAUUCUUUGGUUAACAAAUACCGCAUUGCAUGUGAGGCUGUUUAAGAUUCGCCAUCCUGUUUAAAUUUUGAGAACAGGCUUUUACAUUUGUUCUUAAAAGCCCUUCUUUCUUGGAUCGACUCCUGCUUUAGUGUGACUAGUGGUCCUGGCUCCUUGGAAAUCCUUUGAUCAUGUUCAUGUCUAAGAGGGCCUGUAAAUGAAAGGGUUUCUGAGAGGACGGUGGCUCCUCAUUAAUCCCACACGGCAUUCAUCCCGUCUCAACCAUCAGAGACAAUUCAGGGAGGGAGCCUGGCAUUAAGAGGGGAAAUGAACACACUUCUCACACUUGAUAAAGAUCUGUAUUAACUGUAUGAAAAAUGAGCCAGACACCACACUGAUGACUCUGACAACAAAGUAGCAAUAAAACAGAUGAUUAAAAAUGAAGAAGCCUGGCACUCUUUAGUAAUCGGGAGCAGAGCUCUUAACCUUUGUGGUCAUGUACAUAUUUGUCUACAGAUGUUUAAGUUGAAAGUCAUUGUUUGUGCUGUUUUUGGUAGCUCUUGGGAUUUGUCUUUUGGGGAGGCACCAAGUCUAAUUCUGUGUUUGGAGCUGGGCUCAAUGUAUCCUUAAAGUUCAAUAAAUGUUUGCAAUGACUGCAGUUAUUUAGAGGACUUUGAAGUUGAUAGAGGCGAGCAGGAUACCCAGCUACUCCCCUAGUUCCACAUUUGCCAGAUGGGAGAGGCAGUAGAAAUGGCAGCUCUGAAACAGCUUAUGGUCCUGGUCCAGUAGAUCCUCAGGGCUCUGGUAUCUCCUGCUUAUUGUCUCACUUGUUAAAGCCAAUUCCUUGCCCUCCUUCUCUGCACAUUUAUUUAUUUAUUUAUUCAUUCAUUCAUCCUGCUUUUAUUCUUUGGUUAACAAACACCAACAAACACAAACAAACAAAAACAAAUAUUUAGUGGAUAUAUUUUAGAAGUCAUGCUCUGUGUAGUGUGUUGACCAUUCAGUGAUGAAGGAAAUGGACAUACAUCUUGUGUUCAUGGAGCUUACAUUUUUCCCAGUGGAUGCAUCAGAACCAAAGGGAAUUAUUCAACCUAUGACUUGGAACUGGGGGCUAUACUGCAUAGUAUUUAAGCCUGGAUAGCACCAUAUAUAUAUAUAUGGUGUCUUUUUAGGGGCAUAGCCACAGUGUAUGGAAGUUCCCAGGCUAGGGGUUGAAUUGGAGUUGUAGCCGCAGGCCUACACCGCAGCCACAGCCGCACCAGAUCCAAGACCCAUCUGUGACAGCUCACAGAAAUGCCAGAUCCUUAACCAGGGAGCGGGGCCAGGGAUUGAACUUGCAUCCUUAUGGAUAUUAUUUGGGUUCUUAACCCACGGAGCCACAAUGGGAACUUCUGAGUAGCUCUCUCAUAUUUAGGUAUGUUCGUAGGGAGAACUUAGAAUGUAACAUAAUUACUUAUAGAUCUUUAAUUCUGGAAUAGUUAGCAGACAAUAGAUGUCAGACUUUAGGGGGUAAAAACAUUCCUUUCAGCUUGUUUUCGCCCCACAUACAGGUUCAUCAAAUACAAACGUUUUCUUUAUUAAAAGUGAGGCAGAGACUUUAUGUUGUAAUUGUUUUUUCUUUUAUGGCUAUAUUUCUUCUUCAGGUAUCCUUUUUUUAACCUGAAGUAUAGUUGAUUUAAAAUGUGUUUGUUUCAGGUGUAUAGCACAGCUGCAUAUAUAUAAUAUGUAAUAUCAUAUGCAUUAUAUGUAUAUAUUCUUCAGAUUCUUUUCUCUUAUAGGUUAUUACAAAAUAUUAUGUUAUAGUCCCUUGUGCUAAACAGUAAGUCCUUGUUGGUUAUCGUCUUUAUAUAUAAAAAAUGAGGCAGAGGAUAAUUGCGAGAUGAUUUCCCAGGCUGAUACAGUUAUAUACCAAUACUGCUGUCCCCGGCUGCCUUCAAGCUCUUGAGGAUGGAGUGGAAGGCGAAUAGAAACUCAAGAAAAUCCAGAAAUGGAGACCUCUUUACUCCCUAGAAUUCUGCCAGUUUGAGAAAAGUCAUUUAUAUCAUUACUAAAAACUCUCAUACACACACACAGUAUUACAUUAGGAAGCAAUACCUACUCCGCCCACCUGACGGCCAAAACCCAAGUGGGCAGAAAGAACUACCCUGCCUGCCUCCACCCCAAAGUUUUGAUGUCACCACUCCAACCUGUGGAAGAGCUACCUAAACAUCACCCAGCAGAGAGAACAGCAGAGGGAAACUGAUGAGAGGGUUUUCCAAAGGUCUAAGGAGAAGGAGUCCUGCCGUGUGUCUCAGACCUUCUUCGGAAGUUCCUCUUCUCCCAGGUCACCUUGUGCUCAUCCACUCGAUCCCUUAGGACACGUCACUCACUGGGCUGAGUCCUGGAGCCUUGUCCUUGAAUUCGAUCAAUUCAGAGAGGGAUCCUCCUUCUUGGGGGUAGAAGGGAAGUAUAAGAAGGAGAAGGCAGAAGCUUUGAGCUUUCUUUGGGGGCCGAUUAACUAAGUCAUCUAAGCUACCACUGGGUAAGGAAAGUUAUGAAUUUUAACAGUUUCUGAAAAGUUCUCACAUGGUCUGGUCCUGUGAUUUCAAAACUGGGGGAUACAGCCUAUUUGUGGGGUCCUGGAAUCCAUUUAGUGGGUCACAGUCUACACACUCGGACCACAUUAAAAAUAUGUGGAAAAGGAGUUCCCAUUGUGGCUCAGUGGUAGCGAACCCAACUAGUAACCAUGAGGAUAUGGUUUUGAUCCCUGGCCUCGCUCAGUGGGUUAAGGAUCCAGUAUUGCCGUGAGGUGUGGUGUAGGUCGCAGACAUAGCUUGGAUCCUGCAUUGCUGUGGCUGUGGUGUAGGCCAGCAGCUGCAGCUCCGAUUUGACCCCUAGCCUGGGAAAUUUCAUAUGCUGAAGGUGUGGCCCUAAAAAGACAACAACAACAAAAAGUGGAAAAGAUACUAAGUCAAGAUAUAAAAUAAAUUUUUCUUAUUUGGUGGGGGUCAAAAAAGUUUGAAAAUCACAGUUCUGAUCUAUGCAGGCAACUGGUAAAAGUGAUAGACAGCAAGCAAGAGCCAGAAUAGGGGAAAUAACUGGCUGGCAUUUCCUUCUCUUCUGCUCUUUCUUCUUAGGUAUAAAUGAGAGCUGGUCAGCUGUAGAACUACUUAAUUUGCCAUUGACCAAGGGAAAAAGGAACAUUUCUGAUAUUAUUUGACUGUAUAUUUUUAGCUUGGCUGUUAUCUAGAAUCAUUUCCAUUUGACUUUUUUUUUUUUUUUAAUAUCCAUAGUCCUAAAGAAAACACCCA
rnacentral:lncRNA from 1 species